GCCAGACUCCUACGGGAGGCAGCAGUGGGGGAUAUUGCACAAUGGGGGGAACCCUGAUGCAGCGACGCCGCGUGGGUGAAGGAGCGUUUCGGCGCGUAAAGCCCUAUCGGCAGGGAAGAAGGAGGACGGUACCUGACUAAGAAGCCCCGGCUAACUACGUGCCAGCAGCCGCGGUAAUACGUAGGGGGCAAGCGUUAUCCGGAUUUACUGGGUGUAAAGGGGGCGCAGACGGCAGCGCAAGCCAGGAGUGAAAGCCCGGGGCCCAACCCCGGGACUGCUCUUGGAACUGCGCGGCUUGAGUGCAGGAGGGGCAGGCGGAAUUCCUGGUGUAGCGGUGAAAUGCGUAGAUAUCAGGAGGAACACCGGUGGCGAAGGCGGCCUGCUGGACUGCGACUGACGUUGAGGCCCGAAAGCGUGGGGAGCAAACAGGAUUAGAUACCCCCGUAU
rnacentral:rRNA from 1 species